GAGCAUCAAUUAUUAAUAGACCAAUAGAAGAAGAUAAAGUAAACAUUGAAUGAAUGAAUGAAUGAAUGAAUGAAUGAAUGAAUGAAUGAAUGAAGAAGAUGUAGGAAGACAGGGUUUCAUCUGAACCAUAUUACUUUGACUCAGAUCUGUUGCCGGUAACCAAGAAGUCAGUAGUCUGAAUCAGUUGACAUAUUUGGUUUAUUGGUGGCCAUUUUAAAUGAUCCUCUAAACCUCCAGUCCUUCAGUACCUCCUCCUCCCCUUCCACGCCCCACCAGGCAGGCCUUCACCUUCUCUUCGCCCCUCGUCACAUCAUCCACAGAAACCAAAAGCCAACUGAAGGGGUAUUUUCUGACCGUAACACACAAUCUGUCAGCGUUUUCAAUGGCGUAAAAGUGCAUUCAUCAUCAUGUUCACGUAAGUGUUGUUACUCAAGGCUGUGCUCAGAUCUGUACCGCCACAAACAGGUUGUAAGAUGUAGUGUGAAUUACAGUAGAGGAAUCUUGAGAGCUUUUAGCGCCCCUGCAGGUGGAACAGAGAACAACAGCUGCAGUGUUAUACAAUAGUCCUUCACCCAGGUUGUGCAUCUACAUAGAUGUACAUACAGUUAUGUAUAUAUAUAUAUAUGCAACGUCGAAACAAGAGCAGUCAUCACAUCACAAGUGGUGGGCGUUCAUCAAACCCACACCAGGUCUGGUCUGGUCCAGAACACGCUAGCACCAAACAAGACUUAAGGGUCUGGUCCAUAAGACUCUAGUCUAAACCAAACCAGGUCUGGUCUGGUCCAGAAGACUCUGGUCUAAACCAAACCAGUUCUGGUCUGGUCCAGAAGACUAGUCUAAACCAAAUCAGGUCUGGUCUGGUCCAGAACACUCUAGUCUAAACCUAACCAGGUCUGGUCUGGUCCAGAAGACUCUAGUCCAAACCAGGUCUGGUCUAGUCCAGAACACUCUAGCACCAAACCAGACUUAAGGGUCUGGUCCCGUAGACUCUAGUCUAAACCUAACCAGGUCUGGUCUGGUCCAGAGGCGUUGGGACGCCUCAGGAACCAGAGACAGACGGCGUAGGGCCGGGUUCCCCAGAGAACCGUCACAGAACACGCAGUUAGUCCGACCGCAGCAGCUGAAUAAAUACAAAAGUAAAGAUGCGUCAGCUGAGAUAAUCCUCUGGGCUGCGUUAGAAAAGGUGUAGCAUGAUCAUACGUGUUUACUGUCCCUCCUUAUGUACAGAAAUAAUAUAUGCAAGAGCUUGUGUUCCUUCUCUAAUCCCUCUCCCAGCGUGUGGCGGCUCGAGCGUGUCUCCGACGUCAGACCGGUGAACGUUGACCCAGCACCUAUGCUGCGUUCGUCGGGCCAGUAUGUGUGUGCAGUAAUACUAAUGAUACGAUAGGAAUAAGGCACGUUAAAGUCCCUCCGGUGCUGAGAUGGCGGCUCAUGGCUCCAGAGAACGAAGCACCUUUCAGCGGAGAACCGAACGCCCUGCUGGCGGGAGAUUGUCGUGGUCAGGGUUCCUGCCGCAGUGGAGGUCCGUCACUGAGUAUGUCAGGAGGCUGGGGGCUUUGUGUGCACAUUCAUAACGGCGGCGCCUCGACUCACACACAGAUCGAUGUCCGUGUCUUGCUAGUUUGCUUUUUUCAAACAUUGAAAAACUUAAAAAACCUUAUUUGAAAACGCUGAGGUCAGUUGCUGGUACACCGAAGGUAAGAAGAAGAAGAGUCCAAAUGGAGGCCGCCUUUUACAAGAGAAGAUCCUCGAAAUGUUCCAUUUAAAAAAAUCUCCUUUGGGUUUGUUCGUCAGAAAACACGCAGAUAGGGGCCAGCGGCUGCUGCUGUGUAGAAAACACUAUUCAUUAAUAAAGUCAUUCAUAAAAACGCAAUCAAGGAUUUUGUUAAAUUCACUAAAAGCAUAAAUUGUGCCGACGCCGUCCUGAGCCCCGAUAACCUGGGGGGGGGGGGUCAGGGUCCAGUGGGGGUCCACUGCCUCCCGGAGGUCAGGGGGUCAGGUUCAAAGGUCAGGGUCGGAGGUCAGGGUCCAGUGGGGUCCACUGCCUCCCAGAGGUCGCCUGGGGGUCAGGGUCGGAGGUCAGGGUCCAGUGGGGGUCCACUAUCUCCCGGAGGUCUGGGGGGUCAGGGUCGCCUUUGAG
ensembl:lncRNA